rnacentral:lncRNA from 1 species
GAAGAGGGCUGACCCCCCCACACACACACACACGCUCUGCUACCAUGUGCUGCUCUUUAGUCAGCACAACCUUGCUGAUUAUGCUCCUGACCUUCCUUCAGUUCCACCAGGAUGAAAAUAGAAAUUAGUUGUUAAGGCCCCUGGGCCUGCUGCACGUGAGGUAAAAGCAGUGGUGGCUGCUAGCAGUCGUCUGAUACAACAAGCAGAGACUGCUGGAAGCCUUCUCAGAUACUACACAACUGCCAAAUCUGUAAUCUCACCUACUGCCUGGCAAUACUAAGCUGGCAGUUACUCUAAAAGGGCCCUUUCCAACCACAUUGUGUCACAGCUAAGAGCCCUGCAUCCUUCACACAGACAGUUAAGAAUUGAGACACAGAGGGCCAGGAGGGUGAGGAAAUGCAAAGUGGCCACUUAGCACAUGGUGCAGAUCUUAUGGUGGGAGGGAGGCCAGAAGAAGGUAGUCAGGUUCUCCUGAUGCCUUGUCUUAGGAAUGUGCUUGGAGAACAGUGGCAUCAUUUUCAUACUCCACGUCUCUUUUCCUUCUCUCUCUCUCUCUCUCUCUCUCUCUCUCUCUCUCUCUCUCUCUCUCUCUCUGCUACUCAUUCCCUAGAGUGAAGAUUUAAUACGUAAGGCCCAGUGACACUUAAAAUGAAGAGUAAAGUUUCUCUUGGUACUUUCUAGCUAGUCUAGGGGAUGUUCCAAGAGACAAUCCAGGCCAGUGCUUGUCAGACAUGCCUCAAUACAAUAAACAAACUAGAGAGUCUCCUGCCUUGCCCAGAAUCACAGCUCACUCUCCUCUCCCAAACCAUCUCCCCAGACUGAGCUGCCUCCUCCCUGCUAUGUGCUGCCUGUACCCUAGUAACCCAAUGAAGGGAGUAAGAAGCUUCUUUGAGCCUCAGUCAAGGUCAUCAUUUUGACAUGCUUGAUCUCCAGUUUGACAUCCAAGCAUAAGGAAGUGUGGUCCCCAUCAAACAGGACCAAAGCUCCUGAAUGUAUGGGAGAGAAAAGGACAAGCUCUGUAUACAGGCACAUGAAGGCCUUGAGCCAAACUGCCUCUCCUCAUCCUCUCCUACUCAGACUUUUCCCCAUGACACACUGGAAUCUGUAUUAUAUCUAUUUUUAAGAAAGUACAAUGCUGGUUGUCUGGUUUUGUUGUUUUUACAGGUGUUAUGAAAUAAUAAGAAAAUGAAGUAUUUAAAAUGUUCCAAUAAAGCGGGAUUUUGUUAUCUAAUAUAUUAUCAUGUACCUAUUGUAAAUAUGAAACUCCUAUUUUGCAAGCCAAGGACACAAUUUGUACUGUUGUUAUAUAUAAAUAAAGAUUACUGGAUAAAA